rnacentral:lncRNA from 1 species
UGUUUACUUACAUAUCGAUUCUAUUGCUUUUAUUGUUACUUACCUGUUUAGCUCUUUUGGGCCUAGUGGUGCUUUCACUGAAGUCAGUAAUUGCCCACUGAGAACUAUUAUUUAAUAGUUCUCACGCCCCUGUUUCUAUGUUUCCUUUUCAGAGCCCUCUGCACCGGCAGAGGCACGGGAUCGCGGCAAGGGGAUCGCUAGCUAGAUAGCGAGGAUUUACUGUUGCUUAGGUGGUUUUCUCUCUUUUUGUUGUGGUUGAGAGAGAGUGAGGUUUUGUAUCCAUGUAUAGAGACCACCUAUGUAUUUACUUAUAUCACUUGUUGUGGGAUUCUUCUUGUACUACUUUAUGUUUUCAUCUAGUGGAUUUUAGUUUUAUGGCUCUUUUUCUCUAUUGUAGCAUCUAGAUAUACUUGCUCUGAUACUCCUAGAUGUUCUCCUUUUACUGCUUCAUUUAUCGUUUUAUUUUAGACGCCUUAUAUGUUUUAGACAUAUGGCGGGUCUAGACACACGCCGAGCGGGCUUCCGCUGGGCCC